GAUGAACGCUAGCGGCAGGCUUAAUACAUGCAAGUCGUGGGGCAGCAUGAAUGUAGCAAUACAUUUGAUGGCGACCGGCAAACGGGUGCGGAACACGUACACAACCUUCCUAUAAGUGGGGAAUAGCCCAGAGAAAUUUGGAUUAAUACCCCGUAACAUAACGAUGUGGCAUCACAUUGUUAUUAUAGCUUCGGCGCUUAUUGAUGGGUGUGCGGCUGAUUAGAUAGUUGGCGGGGUAACGGCCCACCAAGUCUACGAUUAGUAGCUGAUGUGAGAGCAUGAUCAGCCACACGGGCACUGAGACACGGGCCCGACUCCUACGGGGGGCAGCAGUAAGGAAUAUUGGUCAAUGGACGUAAGUCUGAACCAGCCAUGCCGCGUGAAGGAUUAAGGUCCUCUGGAUUGUAAACUUCUUUUAUCUGGGACGAAAAAAGGCUUUUCUAAGUCACUUGACGGUACCAGAUGAAUAAGCACCGGCUAACUCCGUGCCAGCCGCCGCAGUAACAC
rnacentral:rRNA from 1 species